rnacentral:rRNA from 1 species
UACGUAGGGUGCGAGCGUUGUCCGGAAUUAUUGGGCGUAAAGGGCUCGUAGGCGGUCUGUCACGUCUGCCGUGAAAACCCGAGGCUUAACCUCGUGGCUUGCGGUGGAUACGGGCAGACUAGAGGUAGGUAGGGGAGAACGGAAUUCCCGGUGUAGCGGUGAAAUGCGCAGAUAUCGGGAGGAACACCGGUGGCGAAGGCGGUUCUCUGGGCCUUACCUGACGCUGAGGAGCGAAAGCAUGGGGAGCGAACAGG